rnacentral:rRNA from 1 species
UACAUGGGGUGCAAACGUUGCUCGGAAUUAUUGGGCGUAAAGCGCACGUAGGCGGUCGCUUAAGUCGGAUGUGAAAGCCCUCGGCUCAACUGAGGAAGUGCAUCCGAAACUGAGUGGCUAGAGUAUGGUAGAGGGUCGCGGAAUUCCCGGUGUAGAGGUGAAAUUCGUAGAUAUCGGGAGGAACACCGGUGGCGAAGGCGGCGACCUGGGUCGAUACUGACGCUGAUGCGCGAAAGCGUGGGGAGCAAACAGG